rnacentral:rRNA from 1 species
GACGAACGCUGGCGGCGUGCCUAAUACAUGCAAGUCGAGCGGAUGACGGAGGAGCUUGCUCCUCUAGAUUCAGCGGCGGACGGGUGAGUAACACGUGGGCAACCUGCCCUGUAGAUUGGGAUAACUCCGGGAAACCGGGGCUAAUACCGAAUAAUCCUUCGGACCUCAUGGUCCGAUGUUGAAAGACGGUUUCGGCUGUCACUACAGGAUGGGCCCGCGGCGCAUUAGCUAGUUGGUGAGGUAACGGCGCACCAAGGCCACGAUGCGUAGCCGACCUGAGAGGGUGAUCGGCCACACUGGGACUGAGACACGGCCCAGACUCCUACGGGAGGCAGCAGUAGGGAAUCUUCCACAAUGGACGAAAGUCUGAUGGAGCAACGCCGCGUGAGUGAAGAAGGUUCUCGGAUCGUAAAACUCUGUUGUGAGGGAAGAACAAGUACCGGAGUAACUGCCGGUGCCUUGACGGUACCUCAUUAGAAAGCCACGGCUAACUACGUGCCAGCCGCCGCCGUAAUAC